AAAAAAAAAUUAUGGCAGGUAACCUGACUAAACUCAGGGUAUCAGAGGCAGUAAACAAAAACAAUAUAACUAAUUUAUAGGGGAGACUGACACAAUACAGAAGGAAAAAAAUAGUAACAUUAGAAGAGGGAAACUUCAAGGUAACAUACGCGAGAAAAUAAAAAGGAAAAUAAGAGCACCAGCCAGUGGUAAAGAAAGAAGCGAAGGCAUCAACUGCGAGGCAAGAGUGGUGCAGAAGAGGUGCAGAGGAGCAAAGAGAAAGGCACACUGGGCAAAUGGCUGUCCCGGUCGUCAGGUCUGCGGACAUGUAAGAAAAGCAUGGCCGGCACCUUUGGUGUCCUCGCCAGCUUUGCAAAUUGGAGAGAAGGAGCUUCCGUUUGCCUUUGGGACCAGGGCUGCCCCAUAACUCGGGGCCCAGCCAGUGCCCUAGUGUCCACUUUGUGGUCCAGGCAGGGGCUUGAGCCCCCUAUAAGCAGGGGUGCAGCCUGUCUGGCUGCUGCUUUGCCUGCCCAGCUCUGUUUGCCCAGGGUGCCCGCCUCUGAGCCCAGCUCCAGCACCAGCUGGACCUCUUGUACGUGUCCUUCAGUGGCAGCCGGUGGCGAAGAAAGAAGAGGCAUCAUGUGGAACUGUGAGGCAAGAGUGAUGAAGUAAAGGUGCAACUAUGCCAUCAGCAACAUGGUAUCAAUCAUGUCUUACUGGGACUAGUUCAAGUAUAGUGGUAUUCUCAUAUAUAGUUUAACUUAAAAUACAAACAAAAACUCCUUUCUCAUUUAGCAUCAUGAGCUGGUCUGCAUGUUCCUACUUGUGUUCCUACUUUGCGAAGUUAAGGAGAUGGUCAAACACAGAAUAAGUUCGUACCAAAUGACAGCAGUUAAUCAGGUUUACAGAUAGAAAUAAGAUCCAUUCCCAUUCCAACUCAUACUGGCCACCUCAGAGCCCUUGGGGUUGGGGUGGGGACAACACCAAGUAUCAUAGACAUAAUGUGGUGAAAACAGACAGCUCCAGAGCAGCAUUGAAGGUGCUAUGAUUGUAUUGACUUGAUAAAUCAAACUUUCCUUUGGGAAAAGAGAACAUCUGUUGGUUAAAACUCCUCUCCCUGAGAAUGUUGAUGGGAUUUUGUCUUGCAAAGCAAACAACAUCCUUUGAACAUCAACCAUCCCUUAGGUCUUUAAAAUGGUGGUGAGCCACUAUCCCUGGAGAUCUUUAAAAGACAUUUAGAUGUAGAGCUUAUUAGUGAUAUGGUUUAGUGGAGGACUUGUUAGUGUUAGGUCAGAGGUUGGACUAGGUGAUCUUGGAGUCUCUUCCAACCUAGAUGAUUCUGUGAUUCAACAGUUCCUAGGCCAACAGCAUUCCAGCAUGGACACAGCUGGUCUGAUACUCAUGCACCCAGGGUGGCAGGUUUGGUUUUUGUUGUGUUUUGGUGUUAAUUUUAAUUUUUACAUGGAUCAACCCUUUUAUAUUCACUUCAUUCUUCUGCCCAUCAAGCAGGCAAACAUGGUCAUGACCACCUUCAGUUUCACCUCCACUAGAUCUGGAAGAGCAUAGACUUGGGCACCAAUUCUUCUUGCUAUGGACACAGCAUACCUAUUUUCAAUGGAAAGAGGAAUGUGUUAUUAAAAGUUGUAAUUAAUAUUUGAUAGGGUUAAUAGCCAGCAUGCAUAAUCAAGGACUCAUCAGCUAACAUUUACAUUCCUUCUUCUGCUUGCUUUUUAGGAAUAAUCAAGUGAGUAUUAUCUUCUAUCUUAUUAUUGGCAAAGGUAAUAGAUAUAAAGCAAAGAGAUUGAAAUAAGCUAAGUCCAAUCAAGAAAUGUGCCACAAGGGUCUAGUCAUUCUUGCUCUUUCCCAGAACAGAAAAGCAAACAGUGUAGCUCAGUAUAAAUCAUUUACAGCAAAGACUGUCCCCUAAGAUUCAGUCUCAGUUUUCAGGAGGUGUCAGAUACCAGAAUACUAAUACUGAUUUAUAAUACAGAGCACUGUCGGAUCUAGGUAAGUACAUGCUGCUGAAUAAUAAUCACACAUGAGACUAUGUGGUCUCGGGAGAUUUUCUUCUGUUAUCUUCAACAAAGCAUGUUUAAAGAGAUAUGAAAGGCAUGGUUUGGCCCUAUCGUUAGAAUUUCCUAAGUUGCUAUUGCUUCACUUAACAGAAGUUUAUGCUUUUUCCUUUUAAGAUUUCUUCUGUGUAGUGAUAACAUUUUCUAUAGCAUCUGUGCAAACUUAUAUUGUAACAGCAUAUUUAAACUACAAGAGUUACGUCCACUUCCACUGGCCUUUGUCCAUGCCAUCUGCAAUUUAUAAGCCUCUUCAUCUUUACAUAUGUCUGCAGGUACUAUACUUUUGUUACUUUUCUAUGAAAUUAAAAAAUACAGACUUCUUAAAAAUUCUGCCUGGGAGUUAACAGAUCUGAAACAGUAGGAAGUGUGCAAUUAGCUUUGUAGCUUACUAUUAAUAUAUAAGUAAUAAUUAAUGGAAUAUCCAGUAAUGUCCUCUUUCUUCGCAUAGGUAAGUAGACAUUAAAAGAAACUAAGCACUUUUUUUUUUUUUUUUCCAAGGGAAGACUAACUCUAAAGAUAAUCAAGCAGAACAAAUUUUGCAUGUCUUCCAUACUUCUCAGGAUGUCAUCUUACGCAAGAUGCAGCUUUUUCAGCGGAACAUCAACAUACAUUGAAAUAUUAGCAUUCUAAGAGGCAGUUUGUAACAGAUGCUUUACAAAAUCAAGUGUUUUGGCAUGUUUCAGAAUUGAUCAAAAAUACUGUUAGGUUUUCACUUAAUCUGAAGUUUCAGCAGAGUGGGAUGACAAACAUUUCUUAGUAAAAUUAGUUCAGUUCAACCACUGGCUCUGUUUUCUUUGUCAUAAAGCAGUGAAGACCAGCAGAUUUUGAAUUAGCAUUCAGGCUUAAAUUUGGUCUGAAUUACUGAUCAGUGUUAGAACACUUUUGUCUAUUUUGGUAUAUGACAGGGGGAAUUCAUAACUUGUCAUCAGUUAUCAGUUUCAUUUGUUGUUUGGACUACUUGAGGACAACCAUCUAAUAAAAGCAGCCAUGUACAUGGAAUAGAUUGUCUG
rnacentral:lncRNA from 1 species